UCAUUUUCUACGAAUUUUAAUGUAAAAAUACCUUGCAUAUCUGUCAAUGUUUCAAAAAUAAACCCACACCAAAAACAAUUGAACAAGCAACAAAUAAAAAUGACAAUCAUGGAAAAAUAAAACUGCAGAAAAUGGAAGGUUUUUAGGAACGCAAAACAUGGGUUGCCUCCCAAAAAGCGCUUGCUUUAACAUCUUGCAGCUGGACGAAACUUCCUUCUAAGCUUGAAUAGGGCCCAUGGCACUGAGUAAGAUUUCUUCCAUAAUCUGCCCCACAUCACUCUCAUAGUAUAGCUUCAAACGAUGCCCGUUCACUUUGAAUUCGUUGCCGUUCCUUAAGCUUUUAACUUGGACUGCACCAUGUGAAGGGAAAUUUAUGAGAUUUCUAGAAUGGGAUUUCAUAAUGACUAUCAUGCAUAUUCAAAUCAAAUUUAAUAUACGAAAGCAG
rnacentral:lncRNA from 1 species